AUAACCCCUUGGCCAGAAUGUUGAGAAUAUAUGUCGCUUUUUUCCUUGUCACAGGAUGUCUGUCCUUGGCCAUCAGGGAAUAUCUAGAAGAUGGGGUCCAGGGAUUACGAAGAGAUGCUGUUUCAAACGGGUGUCAUAACGACGCAGACUGUACAUCGCAUGUGUGUUCCUCCAACCAGGGAGCCAGCUGUGAACACUUCCACUGCAUUUGUCAUCAGUCGUCUGCUCAUGGAGUGUCAGUGAACCACACGACACAUAGCCAUGGAGGACACGGACAUACGACAACCACAACCGAAUUACCGACAACUCCACUGCCCUCAACAACACAAGCUUCGACAACACUGCCGACAACAACAACCCAGCAAUCCACGACACCAUCCCCCUCUACAACGCAUUCUUCAGAAUGUCCCUGCACCUACUAUAACACGUUCAUUACUCUGCCUGGGAUAGGCACGAUGCAUUGCGCCAACCCAGAUAGGCGGCGCUGUAUCGACGGAAAAUGUCACUGCGUGGCGGAUCCCGAUGCCCCUUGAUUUCUAAGCUGUUUUUUUGUCAGAGGUUGAGCUGUAUUGUUCAAAACGAUUAAACCAUGAAGACAUCACACAUGUUUUAGUUAUAUUUUGCAUAGACACUUUGAGCUGAUGAUUCGCCACCACCUCCCUUUU
rnacentral:sRNA from 1 species